rnacentral:rRNA from 1 species
CACUAUGCCUAGCCCUAAACAUUGAUAAUACCCUACCCGAUUUAUCCGCCCGGGGACUACGAGCGUCAGCUUGAAACCCAAAGGACUUGGCGGUGCUUUAGAUCCACCUAGAGGAGCCUGUUCUAGAACCGAUAAUCCCCGUUCAACCUCACCUUUUCUUGCUAAUUCCGCCUAUAUACCACCGUCGUCAGCUUACUCUUUGAGGAACUAGCCGUAAGCGCAACUGGUACAGCCUAAAACGCCAGGUCGAGGUGUAGCGAAUGGAAAGGGAAGAAAUGGGCUACAUUCAAUAACAAUAAUGCAUACGAACGAUGUUCUGAAAUAAACAUCUGAAGGAGGAUUUAGUAGUAAGUAGAGAGCAGAGUGCUCUACUGAAGCCGGCCCUGAAGCGCGUACACACCGCCCGUCACUCUCCCCGAGCUAACUAUACACAUUUUUAAUAAGCUAAACUUGCAAAGGGGAGGCAAGUCGUAA